AUCGUCCUACGGGAGGCAGCAGUGAGGAAUAUUGGUCAAUGGGCGGAAGCCUGAACCAGCCAAGUCGCGUGAGGGAAUAAGGCCCUACGGGUCGUAAACCUCUUUUGCCGGGGAGCAAGGGCGGGGACGUGUCCCGGCCCGGAGAGUACCCGGAGAAAAAGCAUCGGCUAACUCCGUGCCAGCAGCCGCGGUAAUACGGAGGGUGCGAGCGUUAUCCGGAUUUAUUGGGUUUAAAGGUUGUGUAGGCGGGCUUUUAAGUCAGCGGUAAAAAUUCGGGG
rnacentral:rRNA from 1 species